UACGUAGGGUGCGAGCGUUGUCCGGAAUUAUUGGGCGUAAAGAGCUUGUAGGCGGUCUGUCGCGUCUGCUGUGAAAGUCGGGGGCUCAACCCUCGAAUGCCGGUGGAUACUGUCGGGCUAGAGUGCGGAAGAAGGCGAGUGGAAUUCCUGGUGUAGCGGUGAAAUGCGCAGAUAUCAGGAGGAACACCAAUUGCGAAGGCAGCUCGCUGGGACGUAACUGACGCUGAGACGCGAAAGCGUGGGGAGCAAACAGG
rnacentral:rRNA from 1 species